rnacentral:rRNA from 1 species
CACGUAGGGUGCGAGCGUUGUCCGGAAUCAUUGGGCGUAAAGAGCGUGUAGGCGGUCCGGUAAGUCCGCUGUGAAAGUCGGGGGCUCAACCCUCGAAUGCCGGUGGAUACUGUCGGGCUAGAGUGCGGAAGAGGCGAGUGGAAUUCCUGGUGUAGCGGUGAAAUGCGCAGAUAUCAGGAGGAACACCUAUUGCGAAGGCAGCUCGCUGGGACGUAACUGACGCUGAGACGCGAAAGCGUGGGGAGCAAACAGG